rnacentral:rRNA from 1 species
ACGGGUGAGUAACACGUAUCCAACCUGCCGUCUACUCUUGGACAGCCUUCUGAAAGGAAGAUUAAUACAAGAUGGCAUCAUGAGUCCGCAUGUUCACAUGAUUAAAGGUAUUCCGGUAGACGAUGGGGAUGCGUUCCAUUAGAUAGUAGGCGGGGUAACGGCCCACCUAGUCUUCAAUGGAUAGGGGUUCUGAGAGGAAGGUCCCCCACAUUGGAACUGAGACACGGUCCAA